UUAAUUGAUGUUUCCAUUACACCUACAUAUUGAAUUAACAAUCUGAGCAUAAAUCACUCCUUAGCUUGACACUCAUCUUGAAGCCUUAGUAACAGAAAGCUCCACGUUUUUGUUGUUACCUCAGAAACUGAAGGAGCAGCUUUGAUCAAGAAUCAUGACUCCAGGAAUUCGAUGUAUUUGUGUUUUCAAGAGACCCCAACUAAUUUUUCAAGCCUGAUCAUCCAUCUCAACUGAAAUUUUUUUUUUUUUUUUUUUUUUUUUUUUUUUUUUUUUUUCACUUUGUUCUUGCUCAGUUCUAAUAGAGUUUGUUUAUUGCAAUUCUUAUUUUUCUUAUGUUAUUACUUAAUUAUGUGUUUGUACUGCAAAUCUAAAAAUGAUCACUCUCUUGCAUGUA